CCGUAACCCGUAACUCACGAGUUCAAAACCACGCCUCACGACUCUGAACUGGGAGUACAUCGAUCUAGUACGAGUUCACGGGUGGGAAGUCACGGGUUUGACUGCCGUUCCAGUGCACUUUCACCGGUAGAAGGUUGUAAAAACACGAGUUACGGGCUGCCUGGAACACAUAAGGUCGUGAGUCGUGGUUUUGAAGUCGUAACUCAAGGGUUUAAAAACCUGCCUGGAACGCAGCAUUACUGAAAAACACGGAGAAAACCGCAACCGCAUCGUCAUGUGUUUUUCUAAGAUGUAUGCAAACAGGGGAAAUAUCGCCAAACCAACAAUUAAUUUGACCAAAACCUCACAAUAUCAUCAUUUGUAUGCACAGAUUGGAUGCAUUGUGUGUUGUAAGCUUUUCGUGGCGCUAGAUGUCAGACAGACGCAAAUGGCAAAUACAUACGAAAGUGUAAAACGUGUAUGGCGAACAUUUGUUUUUUUCUGUCAUUAUAGAUGCUAGUUUGGUGAAAGUUCACACUGAGUGCUUCAAAUCAUUCAGAAGAGAUGCUGUUUUUAGGGCAGUUUAUUAAAGAAGACCUGACAUGGAUGACCAAUGAGAAACGACUGCUAAUACUUAUAUAAAUUCAUUACAGAAGGACCCUACCAGACUAUAUUUGAAUACGGCAUACCCAUGAAUUCUGGAACUGUUAUUCCUUAACCCAGUUUGGAGGAUAAGAGCUUACCAACUAGUUAUAAAUAUGCUGAGGUGAUGUAUUGCAAAAUAGCCAACAUACAACAAUAUGGAUGACCCUCUGUCUGGUCAACAGGAGUUUAAAUAUGGACGGGACAGUGAUGUGGCAGCUCUUCCCUGGCUCAUUCACCUCUUGCCUUUCAUUUGUGAAAGGAAGAAAGAAGAAAGAGGGUCAAUGUGCAACUGAAGCUACUGAUUGUGCUGUGUGAUGAGCAUCAAUCCAUGCUUUGAGGGGGAUGAAUCAGCACAGACCUGCCUGCACUGCGUUGGGAACAGAAGUUGCAUCCAGAAUUUUUGCAUCAUUCUGGACCAAAAAGCCAUUCCCUCCAUGAUGAAGACCACUGAUGCAGCCUUCCACUACAUCAUGAGUAAAACAACUACAGAACUAAAUACCAGGUUGGAACGUAUUUAAGAAAAAUGAAACGUCUUUUGAAUUGAAAUGUCUGUUUUGUUAUGGAAAAAUCUUUAGUAUUGUGAAGGAUUAGCUUUUCUGCC